rnacentral:rRNA from 1 species
GACGAACGCUGGCGGCGUGCUUAACACAUGCAAGUCGAGCGGUAAGGCCCUUUCGGGGGUACACGAGCGGCGAACGGGUGAGUAACACGUGGGUGACCUGCCCUCAGCUCUGGGAUAAGCCCGGGAAACUGGGUCUAAUACUGGAUAUGACUCCACGGUGCAUGCCGUGGGGUGGAAAGCCUUGUGCGGCUGAGGAUGGGCCCGCGGCCUAUCAGCUUGUUGGUGGGGUGAUGGCCACCAAGGCGACGACGGGUAGCCGGCCUGAGAGGGCGACCGGCCACACUGGGACUGAGACACGGCCCAGACUCCUACGGGAGGCAGCAGUGGGGAAUCUUGCGCAAUGGGCGAAAGCCUGACGCAGCGACGCCGCGUGA